GAUGAACGCUAGCGGCAGGCUUAAUACAUGCAAGUCGAGGGGCAGCACAGAUAGCAAUAUUGGGUGGCGACCGGCAAACGGGUGCGGAACACGUACACAACCUUCCUUUUGGUGGGGGAUAGCCUUUGGAAACGGAGAUUAAUACCCCAUAAGAUAUUGUGACCGCAUGGUUAUGAUAAUAAAGAUUUAUUGCCAGAAGAUGGGUGUGCGUAUGAUUAGGUAGUUGGUGAGGUAAAGGCUCACCAAGCCGACGAUCACUAACUGGUGUGAGAGCACGACCAGUCACACGGGCACUGAGACACGGGCCCGACUCCUACGGGAGGCAGCAGUAAGGAAUAUUGGUCAAUGGACGGAAGUCUGAACCAGCCAUGCCGCGUGGAGGAUGAAGGUCCUCUGGAUUGUAAACUUCUUUUAUAUGGGGCGAAAAAGGGCCAUUCUUGGUCAACUGACGGUACCAUAUGAAUAAGCACCGGCUAACUCCGUGCCAGCCGCCGCUGUAACAC
rnacentral:rRNA from 1 species